AACCCAUGGUGUAGGCACUUCCUCAAAAUCGCCUUCAAACGUUCCCAUGCUUCGUCUUGAGAUUCAUGUUCAUAUUGUUUAAAAUUGGCAAUUUCUUGCCUUUGAU
rfam:Gossypium raimondii chromosome 4, whole genome shotgun sequence.